AGUUUAGUUUAUCUUAUUUUACAAGUCGAAUUCGCACUUUUAGCACUAGACGUACAACUUCUUCCGAAGUACUUGAAUUCAAUAUGUUGUUUUUUUCCAUUGUAUUGUUCAGCAUAAUUUAUACAUGCACAUCAGAUGUAUAUUAUCAUAAGUCUUGGGAUUUAAUAGAGACAUCCUCCACUUUCAUAGAUAUAUUUUUAAAAAGAUAUUCGUCUGAAGUGUCGCCAGAAUGUCGAACAUUAUUGAAGGAAUAUCAUGCAAACAUCGACAGUUUUGGAAAUUGGGGAUUGCAAAUGUAUCAAGCUUCAGCAAAGUUGCCGGUGGGGAUGCUUAAAGGAAAUGUAUUGAAUAUGGGCGAUUAUGACUCAUGUGUCAAUUUAGCUGCAGAGACCAACCGGGGGACAGUAAACGGAAAGUAUUGUCUUGCAUUUGAAACUGCUAAUGAUAAUUACAUUUCUAAUUUGAUAUUAAGAAGAUAUUCAAUGGAGAAGAUUUUAAAUGAGUCGGACGACAUAAGUAAAAAUAAUAUAAUUCUUUGGUGGGGUUUGUGCUAUCCUAGUGUUUGUACGACAAAAGAAGCUGAAAAGCUGUUUCAACAUUUUUUUGCAAAUAUAACCAUCAAAGAGGAGUUCUGUCAAACUAAAUACCAAAAAGUACCUUUCAGCAAUACGGAAAUUAUAGCAAUUGGUCUUCUGUUUUCCUGGCUAUUAUUUAUUGUAAUAUCUACAUUGUAUGAUGUUUACAGAACGUUUUUGUUGGAUUCAACUAAUUCAUUGCUUUCAUCACUUUCCCUUUGGAAGAAUUGGAAAAAGAUAUUUUAUGAAGAUCCACACCCUGAACGUUUAAGUUGUAUUGAUGGGAUUAGUGUUUUAGCAAUAUUUUCAAUGAUGUUAGGAAACGAAGGUUUAUUUUUGGGUUUUACUCCACAAUUACGUUCACCGUCAUUCGAAAAGUGGAUUCGCAGCUACUUGUCGUUUGAUGUGGUUGGAUCAACUUUUAGCUCGGAAACCUUCCUUCUUGUGGGAGGUUUUCUGACAACAUACUCUUUCUUACAAAAAAUGGAUAGAUAUGGAAACGUUAGUUUAUUUAAGUUAAUUUUGCAGAAAUAUUUAAGGUUUACUAUGCCCAUAGCCGUCUUAAUAGUUAUACAUAAGUUAUUAUUAGAAAGAGUUUUUGAAGGGCCUCUACUGCCAUGUUACAAGAAUCCUUCGCUACAAAAUUGUAAUGAAAACUGGUGGUCAGCUCUCUUGCAUGUACAGAAUUACGUUAACCCAGAUAAUUUGUGCUUCCCACAUACAGGAUACUUGGAUGUACAUCUUCAGCUUCAAUUAACAUCUUUGGUUAUACUGACAGCAACAUCCUAUGGAUACAGACGGUGUAUUUUGAUAAUUCUUUCGUUAUUGAUCCUUGUAUCAAUCAGUUUUUCCUUCAUUCUUGUAUGGAGGGAGGAACUGAGAGUAUAUGGAUUCCUAUUAUAUGGCAUUACUGAAGAGACAAAUAAAUUCUUCACACGGUUUUAUAUUAAAACUCAUCUACGAAUGUCUGCGUGGAUAAUUGGAAUGAUUAUGGGAUAUCUUUUAUUCAUAACCAAGUCUGAAAAAAAUAAAAUUGACCUUAAUAGGGUGAUGGUUACCGUUACGUGGUUCGUGAUAUUAACAACAAUGGUUGCAUGCAUAUUUGCUGUUCAGAAUUUUGUUUUCUUCGAUGAAAAAUACAGCAAAUUGAAACAUUCAUUCCUCAUAGCUUUUGUUUGUCCUGUUUGGUGUUUGUCCCUAUGCUGGGUGAUUUUUGCAUGCACAAAUGGAUAUGGAGGUUUCAUAAAUACCUUCCUUAGUCUGUCAAUAUUUGGAGUUAUUAAAAAGAUAGCAUUUCCUAUGUAUUUAUUACAUUUUCCUCAAUUUGGUAUUACAACAUUUAGACAACGUCAGCAAGCUAUUUUCAAUGUGUUUAUUAUGCAUUAUCUUUUUUUCGGCGAUCUAAUUUAUACGAUCCUGUUUUCAAUAACAUGGUCACUUUUCUUUGACUUUCCAAUAAACGGUAUUUUCAAGUUGGCUCUUAAAAUGAAUAUAAGAAAAACGAAAUGAGAAAAUAAAUGCUUUGGGGAAAGCUAAAGAUAAUUAAUUCCAUAUUGAUUUUUGUUCAUUUGAGAUUUGAAAACAUCUAAUGAUUAUGGUGUUAUUUUAUUGUCAUCUUUUAUUUGUAAAAUCUCUAUAUUAUAUAUAUGUAUGCUCAUAACGCAGCAUUAAUCAAGUUUCUGUAAUAAUAAAUGCGUUACUACUCCUAAUUUACAAAAUUCAGAUUUUGUAAUAACUGUUGAGAUGUGAUUGCUCUUGUAAGUUACCAUUACCACGUGGUAUUUUGCACUCAGGCACAAUCCGUAAGUACUUCUUGCCUCGACAAUGGUCAGGAAGAAGAAUAUCUCAAGAUGUUUUUUGCGAGAGACUCGACUAUCUAUACGAUUAAAAGGAAAGCAACUAAUCAGCUUAUCGAGAACCAUAAUAAGCCAUGAUAUAAGUCUUCUCAAAAUUAUUUUCAAUGCUAUCAAGUACUUUACAUUUUACUAAAAGUAAUAUAUAUUCAUUUUAACUGUCCCGUUUAAAUUCUAGAAAGUUUUCAGUAUUCCAUCAUUAACUAGAUGCCACGAUUAUACCGACCAGUACAACCAAGAAGAAGUUUUCCUAAC